UUAUCAAAAACAUCGCCUCUUGUCAAACAAUAAUAAGAGGUCCCGCCUGCCCUGUGACCCCAAGUUUAACGGCCGCGGUAUUUUGACCGUGCAAAGGUAGCGUAAUCACUUGUCUUUUAAAUGAAGACCUGUAUGAAUGGCAUAACGAGGGCUAAACUGUCUCCUUUCCCCAGUCGAUGAAAUUGAUCUUUCCGUGCAGAAGCGGGAAUGAAUACAUAAGACGAGAAGACCCUAUGGAGCUUAAGACACAAGGCAGCAAACGUUAAGGCCCCUGGACCAACAGGCAUAACAAAGUUAGCCCCUGCCCUCUUGUCUUUGGUUGGGGCGACCGCGGAGGAAAGAAGAUCCCCCACGUGGAACAGGACAUGAUCCUCGAGAUCAGAGCCACAGCUCUCAUCAACAGAACAUCUGACCAGAAAGAUCCAGUAAUACCGAUCAACGGACCGAGUUACCCUAGGGAUAACAGCGCAAUCCCCUUUCAGAGCCCAUAUCGACAAGGGGGUUUACGACCUCGAUGUUGGAUCAGGACACCCUAAUGGUGCAGCCGCUAUUAAAGGUUCGUUUGUUCAACGAUUAAAGUCCUACGUGAUCUGAGUU
rnacentral:rRNA from 1 species